rnacentral:rRNA from 1 species
UUUAUGGAGAGUUUGAUCCUGGCUCAGGAUGAACGCUGGCGGCGUGCCUAAUACAUGCAAGUCGAGCGAACGGACGAGAAGCUUGCUUCUCUGAUGUUAGCGGCGGACGGGUGAGUAACACGUGGAUAACCUACCUAUAAGACUGGGAUAACUUCGGGAAACCGGAGCUAAUACCGGAUAAUAUUUUGAACCGCAUGGUUCAAAAGUGAAAGACGGUCUUGCUGUCACUUAUAGAUGGAUCCGCGCUGCAUUAGCUAGUUGGUAAGGUAACGGCUUACCAAGGCAACGAUGCAUAGCCGACCUGAGAGGGUGAUCGGCCACACUGGAACUGAGACACGGUCCAGACUCCUACGGGAGGCAGCAGUAGGGAAUCUUCCGCAAUGGGCGAAAGCCUGACGGAGCAACGCCGCGUGAGUGAUGAAGGUCUUCGGAUCGUAAAACUCUGUUAUUAGGGAAGAACAUAUGUGUAAGUAACUGUGCACAUCUUGACGGUACCUAAUCAGAAAGCCACGGCUAACUACGUGCCAGCAGCCGCGGUAAUACGUAGGUGGCAAGCGUUAUCCGGAAUUAUUGGGCGUAAAGCGCGCGUAGGCGGUUUUUUAAGUCUGAUGUGAAAGCCCACGGCUCAACCGUGGAGGGUCAUUGGAAACUGGAAAACUUGAGUGCAGAAGAGGAAAGUGGAAUUCCAUGUGUAGCGGUGAAAUGCGCAGAGAUAUGGAGGAACACCAGUGGCGAAGGCGACUUUCUGGUCUGUAACUGACGCUGAUGUGCGAAAGCGUGGGGAUCAAACAGGAUUAGAUACCCUGGUAGUCCACGCCGUAAACGAUGAGUGCUAAGUGUUAGGGGGUUUCCGCCCCUUAGUGCUGCAGCUAACGCAUUAAGCACUCCGCCUGGGGAGUACGACCGCAAGGUUGAAACUCAAAGGAAUUGACGGGGACCCGCACAAGCGGUGGAGCAUGUGGUUUAAUUCGAAGCAACGCGAAGAACCUUACCAAAUCUUGACAUCCUUUGACAACUCUAGAGAUAGAGCCUUCCCCUUCGGGGGACAAAGUGACAGGUGGUGCAUGGUUGUCGUCAGCUCGUGUCGUGAGAUGUUGGGUUAAGUCCCGCAACGAGCGCAACCCUUAAGCUUAGUUGCCAUCAUUAAGUUGGGCACUCUAAGUUGACUGCCGGUGACAAACCGGAGGAAGGUGGGGAUGACGUCAAAUCAUCAUGCCCCUUAUGAUUUGGGCUACACACGUGCUACAAUGGACAAUACA